rnacentral:tRNA from 1 species
AAGGCUUUAGCUUAAUUAAAGCAUCUGGGUUGCAUUCAGAAGAUGUGGGGUAGUGUCCUGCAGGUUUUA